rnacentral:pre_miRNA from 1 species
CACAUACUCCCUCCGUUCGAAAAUACUUGUCAUCAAAAUGGAUAAAAAGAGAUGUAUCUAGAACUAAAAUACGUCUAGAUACAUCCCCUUUUAUCCAUUUUGAUGACAAGUAUUUCCGGACGGAGGGAGUAGUAA